UACGUAGGCAGCGAGCGUUGUUCGGAAUUACUGGGCGUAAAGAGUGUGUAGGCGGUGCUCUAAGUUCGGUGUGAAAUCUCCUGGCUCAACUGGGAGGGUGCGCCGGAAACUGGAGUGCUUGAGCGUGGGAGAGGAAAGCGGAAUUCCUGGUGUAGCGGUGAAAUGCGUAGAUAUCUGGAGGAACACCGGUGGCGAAGGCGGCAUUCUGGACUGCAACUGACACUGAGGAACGAAAGCCAGGGGAGCAAACGGG
rnacentral:rRNA from 1 species